GACGAACCCUGGCGGCGUGCUUAACACAUGCAAGUCGAACGGAAAGGCCCUGCUUUUGUGGGGUGCUCGAGUGGCGAACGGGUGAGUAACACGUGAGUAACCUGCCCUUGACUUUGGAAUAACUUCAGGAGACUGGGGCUAAUACCGGAUAGGAGCUCCUGCUGCAUGGUGGGGGUUGGAAAGUUUCGGCGGUUGGGGAUGGACUCGCGGCUUAUCAGCUUGUUGGUGGGGUAGUGGCUUACCAAGGCUUUGACGGGUAGCCGGCCUGAGAGGGUGACCGGCCACAUUGGGACUGAGAUACGGCCCAGACUCCUACGGGAGGCAGCAGUGGGGAAUAUUGCACAAUGGGCGGAAGCCUGAUGCAGCAACGCCGCGUGCGGGAUGACGGCCUUCGGGUUGUAAACCGCUUUCGCCUGUGACGAAGCGUGAGUGACGGUAAUGGGUAAAGAAGCACCGGCUAACUACGUG
rnacentral:rRNA from 1 species